UUAGAGAACACAAAUAAAUAAAAAAUAUACAGAGGGGAAAAGGUACCUAAUCAGAGAAACAUGAUGCAGAGACUUGUACACAGUGACUUAGAGGAAAUCGGGAUAGCAGAUAGAUAUGCAUGCUUAUUCACUCUCUCCUUCCUGUGUGUGUCAGUGGGUGAGAUGAUGAUCAGGAUGCAGAACAGAACAGUGUGAAGUUAUUACGACGAUACAAAAAUACUGAAGAAUACUCUAAGUAGUGUAAGCAGGUAGGCGGCUACACAAUUAGAAUCAGAUUUUACCUGGGAGAGGAAGGAGAGGAGACAAUGGAGGUUUGGAUCUGACUGAGGGGGAGCAGUGGGACAUCUGUCUGCAAGGUCCCUGGUCUGACUGGGCUGUGCUGAGGGCAUUCUGCACCUCCAUCUGAAUAUCAGAGGUAUCCUGAAGGGCACUGCGUUCACCCGGGAGUUUCUUGUGUCUUUGACGGGUGGGGUUCUUUCCCCUGGAGAAGGAAAGUAUUCUGGAAUUUACUGAGGGAAAGUCUGACCCAUCCAGGGAUCCUUCAGCCCAGACAGGAUGACCUGACACUUCUCCGAUGGCACUGGCAUUACAGCUCUUCUAUAUCCAUACUCUCUCUCGUUUUUCUCCUUCACAAGUAAGGUGGCAGAGUUUGCACAAACGAGGGACACUCUGAAAAACAAGCUCCUCGUUUGGGCCAGAGUGGAUUCAGAGGGAGUGAAAGGGGUUCAGGUCAGCUUAUUAUUUCAGUGGAUGGAUAUGCAGGCACUACCCGGCGCUGAGCGCUGAUGUUUCUCUCCCAUGUGGCGUCCCUCAAUCAAAGACCUGGUCAUUAUGAAUGUGGGUCAAGGCCGUCCAUCGCUUUCCCCUUUCUCUCUCUAUCGCUCUCUCUUUCUCUCUCUCCUCCUUUUCUCUCUCUCUCUCUCUCUCUCUCUUUCUCUCUCUCCUCCUUUUCUCUCUCUCUCUCUCUCUCUCUC